UAACAGGAAAAACAACAUGGAAAAAAAACUUUAUUCACAGCUGACGACGCUGACAAAAAGAGUGAUAAAGUCUUACACAACCGUUCAAAACUGUGGCUCCAAAAGGCAAAGAAUUACAAGAAAAACAGUCAACAGAUACCCCAUCUUGAUUUUGCAGCCGAGGUCCCCACACCGCUUCUUCUUCCUUCUGCAGCAGCUCCUGAAACAUCAGCGGGGACACCAUUAAACCCGCGCGGUGGCAAGCCCACCACCCGGCGGAAAAGGCAAACGCAGCAUCGCAAAGGAACUCGGCACGCGGCCACCCAGCCAAGAAAGGCCUAGCAGCCCUGUUCCCUUCCUUCCCCCCCAACCCCCCACCCCCAGCAUCAUCCCAGCAAAAACUACUUCGAGCAGCUUAUCUCACCUCAAAGAUGCACGGCGGACUUCCAGCCGGUGCCGCGGGGGAUCACAGAGGCGGGCAGGCUGGGCAAAUGGGGCUGGGCACACAAAAAGCAGCGGCCAAAGAGACAGAUUCCCUGCUUAGAGGGGGCCCCCAGCCACUGCCUCCAACGCAAAGGGCCUGGGACUCCGGGACACAGAUGCUCCCUGACUUACAGGGCAGCCCCCAUCCCUACGGCCGAGGGAGGCUCCUUCUCUCCCAGUCCGGGGCACCUCGACCCACACCCCGCUAGCGGGGCGGUCACCCCACACAGGCUGCCAGCAGAGCACAAACGCUCGCGCACCCAGACCCUGAUUACAGGCGGGUGGACAACACCCCUGGAGCCACAGAGCUCGGUUUCCCCCCCAGCGGCAGGAGCAACUCUCAGCAGCCAGGCAGCGGGGCGGCACGGCCAAAGGCCGCAGUCGGGAACCCAGCCCCGAUUCCAGGGAGGGCGCAAGCCCCACCCCGCAUCUCACGGCCCCGCGCCUCUGAAAGGCCGGGGCCACAUUCCCACCUGAGUACAGGGGGUCUCUCAGAACACAGCUCACCAAGCACACACGGGGGGCACACACAGCCCUGCCUACAGGACGGUACCCCCACACCUCACCCUCUCCAAGAAGCCCCGCGGAGCACGAGGCUCCCGCCAACGCCUGAGCUACAGGCGGGCCCGCCCGGCAGCAGCAGAACAUCACCAACGCCUCGUCUUUGGAAGCCCAGGGAGCUACCUCGACCCACCGAGCGGGGAGGUCACCCCACACACAAACAGCACCUCAACCUGCACCCUCUGACGGGACAGGGAGGGGUCACUCCCACCAGCUGGAUGGCUAAAGCAGCCGGCUGCAACGCUGCAGCCUCCCCACACCUGAUUACAGGGCGGGCGGGCUGCUCAGGGACAGAGGGCUCCGAAGCUUGGGACACACACCCCGAGUACGGGGCUGUCACCGCCGCCAGCAGGACAGGCGGCCACGCAAGGACAGGCCCAAGCCCUGGCUACAGGGAGGCCUUGGCCACAGAACUACCGUGUGGCUCUGAUCUGCACUAAGGAAAAUAGUAGGAAGACAGGACACUCGCUGCGCUCGCAGGACUAAGAGGGAACACCCCUUUUGCGGCAUGCACCAAAGUCCUCCAUUCCCCCCCGGGAAGUCAAAGCUAAGCUGCAGCCAUCUUUGUGGAGGCCUAAAGGGAAAGCACAGCCGCUCAACCACUCCACAAACACAAACAAGGAAAGGAAGGGGAACACGCACACACAGGCACGACUUUCCAGAAGGGAAGGACAACGCAGCACAGCCAACACCUGGGAAUAAACCCACAACCACGGGCAACAGACAAGAGCCUGUGACCUGUCCCUAGGCUGCACGGAGGCCACAGACCUCAACGUGCCAAGGGGCUUCUCAGGUAAAGCCAGCGGCCAAAAGCCGUGACGCACACCCCGAGUACGGGGCCGUCGCGUUGACAAGCCACCAUCAGGCAAUGAUGCCGAGGGGCCGGGGGAGGAAGAGGGGCAGGGAAACGGCACUACCCUGCUUACAGGGUGGCCUUGGGGUCCGGCGAGCUCCAUUUCCCACUCAGGUGCGGAGAGGUGGCUCUCGCCCUCCGUUACAGGGGGCCACGCUCCCCAGGCAGCCCUAGGAGCAGCAAGGCAAAAGGCCAACUACAGCAAAGACCCGAGCCCCGCUUACGGGGAGGUCGCCCAGCACAACGCCAGCCUGGUCACCAAAGGCGCCGGCAGCUCUCAACUCAAACGUGACUGUGCCCCUGCUAACGGGACAGGUGCUUUGCCCAGGGAGCCUCUCUCCUUCCCCCCCGCAUCUGCACGCUUCCGCUUCCUCUUCUUGCUUGCUCCUGCCUCCCAGGUCCCCACGCCGCUGCUUCUUCUUCCUUCUGCAGCAGCUCCU
ensembl:lncRNA